UACGUCCAAAUCACAUUGGAACACCAGUUCCCAUACGAUCACCGAAGUUAAGCAACAUCGAGGCUGAUCAGUACUUAGAUGAGUAACCGCUAGAGAAUACUAGGUGCUGUAA